CACCGAAAUACUCGCCAUCACCUAACAGGGCAAUCCGUAAGUCUUCGCCAUGAGGCCCCUUGCUAAUGACCUCAGCCUGUCCGCUAGCCACGAUGAAGAAACGCUGCUUGUCCUUACCCUCCUCCACGAAGAGUUUAUCUACAUCCACCUCCUUAGCCUCGAACGAACUAACCAGACGGUUCAGUAUCUCAUCGUCGAACUCAGAGAACAGGGGGAUGGCCUUCAAGUUCUUCGCUGUAAACGACGGAACACCAUCGACAUAUUGGAUGGGCAGUCGGUCGUUCUUGCGAAGUUCGACCUUCGUACGGUUUACGCGGAAAGUUCCGCCGCUCACCUGCACCCAGGGCAGCAGUUUCAGUAACAGUCUCGGAGUGAUAGAGCCCAUCUGUGGGGCUGUCUUGGUGGUGGUUGCCAGUCUUCUGGCUGUUGCGGUAGUUACA
rnacentral:antisense_RNA from 1 species